CCUACGGGGGGCAGCAGUGGGGAAUAUUGGGCAAUGGAGGCAACUCUGACCCAGCAACGCCGCGUGAAUGAUGAAGGUCUUCGGAUUGUAAAGUUCUGUGAUGGGGGAUGAACACAAUGACGGUACCCCAAUAGCAAGCCACGGCUAACUACGUGCCAGCAGCCGCGGUAAUACGUAGGUGGCAAGCGUUAUCCGGAAUGACUGGGCGUAAAGGGUGCGUAGGUGGUUUAGUAAGUUGGCGGUGUAAUUCCGGGGCUCAACCUCGGCGCUACCGCCAAAACUAUUAGACUAGAGUGCAGGAGGGGUAAGUGGAAUUCCUAGUGUAGCGGUGGAAUGCGUAGAUAUUAGGAGGAACAUCAGGGGCGAAGGCGACUUACUGGACUGUAACUGACACUGAGGCACGAAAGCGUGGGGAGCAAACAGGAUUAGAUACCCUUGUAGUC
rnacentral:rRNA from 1 species